ACUCAAAUGAAUUGACGGGGACUCGCACAAGCGGUGGAACAUGUGGUUUAAUUCGACGCUACGCGAAAAACCUUACCAGGCCUUGACAUAGUGGUCAUAUCGUGGGGAGACCCACGAGUCGGUUCGGCCGGACCAUUACAGGUGUUGCAUGGCUGUCGUCAGCUCGUGUCGUGAGAUGUUGGGUUAAGUCCCGCAACGAGCGCAACCCUCAUCCUUAGUUACCAACAGGUUAUGCUGGGCACUUUAAGGAAACUGCCGGUGAUAAGCCGGAGGAAGGUGGGGAUGAUGUCAAGUCAGCAUGGCCCUUACGGCCUGGGCUACACACGUGUUACAAUGGUGGUGACAAUUGGAAGCAAUAGGGCGACCUGGAGCAAAUCCAUAAAAGCCACCUCAGUUCGGAUUGUACCCUGCAACUCGGGUGCAUGAAGUCGGAAUCGCUAGUAAUCGCAGAUCAGCACGCUGCGGUGAAUACGUUCACGGGUCUUGUACACACCGCCCGU
rnacentral:rRNA from 1 species